CUCCAGGACAACACUUCUGACACCAAACGUGUGGCUUUUCCAUACCAACCACCCACGGUGCAAACAGGACAUGGACUGGGGUGCCCUGUGGUUCCACUCAGCGCUGACGGCGAUGCCCAGAGUCCGCCCAGAGCCUCCAAGGGGCGGCUCAGUCCCACGUGAGCCCCUCCACUUCAGACGCCCAGCAGCUUUGCUCCUUUCCGUUGGAUACUGGGCUGCUGGGUACAACGAACUCUAAACAAGCAUCACUAUCGCUUCUGAAGCCAUCACACCUGGUGAAGGGAGGACUGCUCAUUGGGUCCCCAGCUGGCUGGGCCACACAGGGAUUUUGUUGAUUCGGAAAGGGCAGGCAGCUUCUGCAAGCUGGUAGAAGGGAGGGCCAGCUUCUUCCCGGAGCCCCCAGAAGGCAUCAGCCGUGCCAACGCCGUGACCUGACUCCCAUGAGACUGACAGGGCACUUCCCGGCUUCCCGAUACUCCUCUUCAGAUGCUACCCAGGCACGAUGCUGACUAAGAUCAUAAACGUGUGGUUUU